rnacentral:rRNA from 1 species
CCUACGGGGGGCAGCAGUGGGGGAUAUUGCACAAUGGGCGAAACCCUGAUGCAGCGACGCCGCGUGCGUGAAGAAGUAUUUCGGUAUGUAAAGCCCUAUUAGUAGGGAAGAAAAUGACGGUACCUGACCAAGAAGCCUCGGCUAACUACGUGCCAGCAGCCGCGGUAAUACGUAGGGAGCAAGCGUUAUCCGGAUUUACGGGGUGUAAAGGGAGCGUAGGCGGUUAUGUAAGUCUGGGGUGAAAGUCUGGGGCCCAACCCCGGGACUGUUUUGGAAACUGUGUAACUCGAGUACAGGAGGGGCAGGCGGAAUUCGUGGUGUAGCGGUGAAAUGCGUAGAUAUCAGGAAGAACACCGACGGCGAAGGCAGCUUGCUGGACCGAAACUGACGCUGAGGCACGAAAGCGUGGGGAGCAAACAGGAUUAGAUACCCCAGUAGUC